AACUUUCAACAACGGAUCUCUUGGCUUUCGCAUCGAUGAAGAACGCAGCGAAAUGCGAUAAGUAGUGUGAAUUGCAGAACUUUGUGAACCAUCGAAUCUUUGAACGCAAAUUGCGCCUUUUUCGGAAGGCAUGUCUGUUUGAGGGCACCAUU
rnacentral:rRNA from 1 species